rnacentral:tRNA from 1 species
UGGUGAGGUGUCCGAGUGGUUGAAGGAGCACGCCUGGAAAGUGUGUAUACGGGAAACCGUAUCGAGGGUUCGAAUCCCUCCCUCACCGCCAC